rnacentral:lncRNA from 1 species
GCAGAUGCAUGAUCAACACCGAAGAGACAGACUCGCAGGCUGCUGAGCACAGUGCCUCCAGAAGGGUGUCUUGGAGCCAGACGUGAAGACACACUCGCUCAUGACCUGUUGAUGGACCCUCAAAGGCAAGAAGGUACCACCUUGUGAACCGAGUGUAGGCAGAAAUGGCACAGAAUCAAACCAACUUUGCCCUCAAUGGGAGGAACCAGGCCUUGGGACAGUCUGGGCAGUGAGACACAGCGACUGGUUCCUGAGGUCGAAGUGGGAGUGACACACCACUGCUAAAACCAGAAACGCUUGACAGAAACAGUCAUGGUCUGGUAGAGCAGCUACACCUGUGGUCAAAGCCCUCGCGAAGCCAGGAGCACUCCAACCACCCCUUGUCCUGAGCAUCACAUUCUAGAACUUGGGAGAACUGCCUCCUCCUUAGCAGACUCAGAGCUGCUGAAGUCCAACAGCUUCACGGGGCCCCAGUGCCCACCCGCUGCUGAAGCAGGACCUGCUCUGGCCAUGACCACGUGCUCAUGCCCUGCUGUUCCUGUCGGGGCCAAAUGCCUCCAAGGUCCUGGCUUCAACCUGAUGGCUUUUUCCACAACUCUUCUAAAUCUGGACACCAUUUAAGAAAGCAGGUGUGAACAGUUCAGUAAGCCGAGGUUACAGGUACGGAAAGUGAGGCCUCGAGUUACCUUAGCAUCGCCAGGACUGAAACCAGACUGGCUUCAGCACACGAGAAGCUAUACAAGCUGGGGAGCCAGGCUGUGUGCAAGUGUUGCACAGCAACCGCACCUGCACGGGGGAAGCCAGUCUGGCCAGCUCUGAAGGUCCCUGGCCUGUGGUUCCCAGUUCCAUGUUGUCCUGAGAAUGAAGUUUCUCCAACACACCUGAAACGAUGGCAUCAUUCAGCAAAAGUGACAGGUGAGGGAACAACUGAAGCUCACCCUGAAAACGUUUUUGCUCUCCAGUUAGUCCACUACAUAACCUGGGCACGAGGGGGCUAUUUUGGGCUACCUUCAAUAUUUACCAAAUUCAGUAACUAUAGAAAAAAUGUAACAAAAAUAACAGCUCUGUAAGACUCGAGUGGCACACGUGUUAGUUUAAGUGGUCAUAACUGGAGCCUGAGAACACAACCCGAGUGGGUCCUUGGUAUUUCUAAAUGAUACCCAGCCAGCAUUUAACGGCAGUGACGAUGGUGGAGAAGUGCUGUCUAGUCUUGAGCUUGACCUUGAUCCAUUAACAUUUAAUUUUUAAAGGGACACGUUGGUGGAUUUCCAGUACAAAGACUAAAGUUGAAGAUUCAAAGGAAAUGCAUCCAAAGUUUCCUGGUGGGGGAACAAUGCUGACUUAAACAUUCCAACUUUUCUGAGUACUACAAAUGUUUAUGUUACAAUCAUGGAAAGAUUAAUCAACUUUAAAAGACAGUCUUAAAAUGAAUAGAAAACAACCUGUAGGUUCUAAAGGGGAACAUAUGGCUAAAGAGGUUAAUUGCACCUCAUUAAUAGGAAUAACCACCCAUAUCUCUAUAGAGUAAUGUAACUAAGAACCACAGGUAAAAUGUAUUAGCUCAAUGGAUGAAGAAUGCUUGUGUGACUGGUCUUUGAAAGGGUAGUUCUUGCAACGUACACACACUCAUACAACUUAAACUGUGCCAUAUGCAAAAAAAGAAAAGACAUUAUUUAGAGCAGUACUGGUGAUCCGAAAAUUUUAAUUUCUUUUAACCUUAUAUUUAAAAACAUAAGCUAUUUUAUAAUCUCUUAUGCAGAUAUUCACAAAUUCAAACCAUUUAAUGGGUUCACAUUAGCUGUCAAUCCCCACAGCGUUUUUACUGGUAUUCAGCGAGUCUCAGCUUUUACACCUGACGUAUCAGCUAUCUCACUGAUAGCCAGGUGCACACAGUACUUUUAGGCCUGCUGCAUGGACAGGAUUCUUAUAAUUUUCAAAUAAAUCCCAUUUCUUAAAACAGUAAUUCCACUGAAGUCCAGCAAAAACACAACCCACCCAGGUCAAGGUUUGCCAAGUGGUACUUUAUUGAGAGACAGCCUUGACUUUAAUUUCCUGAGGCUUACAAUGAAUGGGUGCCCCAUGGGCAGUGUACCCCCUCCCUGCAUCAGCUUUUGUCUGGCCCCCAUGAGCA